rnacentral:rRNA from 1 species
GACGAACGCUGGCGGCGUGCUUAACACAUGCAAGUCGAACGGAAAGGCCCUGCUUUUGUGGGGUGCUCGAGUGGCGAACGGGUGAGUAACACGUGAGUAACCUGCCCUUGACUUUGGGAUAACUUCAGGAAACUGGGGCUAAUACCGGAUAGGAGCUCCUGCUGCAUGGUGGGGGUUGGAAAGUUUCGGCGGUUGGGGAUGGACUCGCGGCUUAUCAGCUUGUUGGUGGGGUAGUGGCUUACCAAGGCUUUGACGGGUAGCCGGCCUGGGAGGGUGACCGGCCACAUUGGGCCUGAGAUACGGCCCAGACUCCAACGUGAGGCAGCAGUGGGGAGUAUUGCGCAAUGGGCGGAAGCCUGAUGCAGCGACGCCGCGUGCGGGAUGACGGCCUUCGGGUUGUAAACCGCUUUCGCCUGUAACGAAGCGUGAGUGGCGGUAAUGGGUAAAAAAGCACCGGCUAACUACGUG